rnacentral:rRNA from 1 species
UACAGAGGGUGCAAGCGUUAAUCGGAAUUACUGGGCGUAAAGCGUGCGUAGACGGUAGCGUAAGUCGGGUGUGAAAGCCCCGGGCUCAACCUGGGAAUUGCAUUCGAGACUGCUCUGCUAGGGUGCGGAAGAGGGAAGCGGAAUUUCCGGUGUAGCGGUGAAAUGCGCAGAUAUCGGGAAGAACACCUAUGGCGAAGGCAGCUCUCUGGGACGGUACUGACGCUGAGACGCGAAAGCGUGGGGAGCGAACAGG